rnacentral:rRNA from 1 species
UAUCAUAAUAAAUAUACCUUGAAGGCACCAGAUCCUGUCUGAUAUUGGAAGCUAAGCAGGGUCAAGCUCAGCUAAUACCUCAAUGGAGGACUGUCAAGGAAGACUAGGUGCUGUAGGCU